rnacentral:rRNA from 1 species
CCUGCUUCCAGGAAAAGCCUCUAAGCAUCAGGUAACAUCAAAUCGUACCCCAAACCGACACAGGUGGUCAGGUAGAGAAUACCAAGGCGCUUGAGAGAACUCGGGUGAAGGAACUAGGCAAAAUGGUGCCGUAACUUCGGGAGAAGGCACGCUGAUAUGUAGGUGAAGUCCCUCGCGGAUGGAGCUGAAAUCAGUCGAAGAUA